rnacentral:rRNA from 1 species
AGUGAACGCUGGCGGUAGGCCUAACACAUGCAAGUCGAACGGCAGCACAGUAAGAGCUUGCUCUUACGGGUGGCGAGUGGCGGACGGGUGAGGAAUACAUCGGAAUCUACUUUUUCGUGGGGGAUAACGUAGGGAAAAUUACGCUAAUACCGCAUAGGACCUAAGGGUGAAAGCAGGGGAUCUUCGGACAUUGCGCGAUCGAAUGAGCCGAUGUCGGAUUAGCUAGUUGGCGGGGUAAAGGCCCACCAAGGCGACGAUCCGUAGCUGGUCUGAGAGGAUGAUCAGCCACACUGGAACUGAGACACGGUCCAGACUCCUACGGGAGGCAGCAGUGGGGAAUAUUGGACAAUGGGCGCAAGCCUGAUCCAGCCAUACCGCGUGGGUGAAGAAGGCCUUCGGGUUGUAAAGCCCUUUUGUUGGGAAAGAAAAGCAGCAGGUUAAUACCCCGCUGUUCUGACGGUACCCAAAGAAUAAGCACCGGCUAACUUCGUG